rnacentral:rRNA from 1 species
UACGUAGGGUGCGAGCGUUGUCCGGAAUUAUUGGGCGUAAAGAGCUCGUAGGCGGUCUGUCGCGUCUGCUGUGAAAUCCCGAGGCUCAACCUCGGGCUUGCAGUGGGUACGGGCAGGCUAGAGUGCGGUAGGGGAGAAUGGAACUCCUGGUGUAGCGGUGGAAUGCGCAGAUAUCAGGAAGAACACCAGCGGCGAAGGCGGCGUCCUGGACUGGUACUGACGCUCAGGAGCGAAAGCGUGGGGAGCGAUCCGG